ACUGCGAUAGCUCAGCUGGUAGAGCAUCUGCCUGGUACGCGGAGGGUCGCCGGUUCAACUCCGGCUCGCGGCG
rnacentral:tRNA from 1 species